rnacentral:rRNA from 1 species
CCUACGGGAGGCAGCAGUGAGGAAUUUUGCGCAAUGGGGGAAACCCUGGACGCAGCACGCCGCGUGAGUGAUGAAGGCUUUCGGGUCGUAAAGCUCUGUCGAUCGGGAAGAAGGUGCAUCAAGUGAACAGGUUGAUGUAUUGACGGUACCGAUGAAGGAAGCACCGGCUAACUCCGUGCCAGCAGCCGCGGUAAUACGGGGGGUGCAAGCGUUAUUCGGAAUUAUUGGGCGUAAAGGGCGCGUAGGCGGUUUUACAAUGUCAGAUGUGAAAUACCUGGGCUUAACCGAGGAAGAGCAUUUGAAACGGUAAGACCUUGAGUAUGGGAGAGGGUAGUGGAAUUCCUGGUGUAGAGGUGAAAUUCGUAGAUAUCAGGAGGAACACCUGUGGCGAAAGCGGCUACCUGGACCAAUACUGACGCUGAGGCGCGAAGGCGUGGGGAGCAAACAGGAUUAGAUACCCUGGUAGUCCACGCAGUAAACGGUGAUCACUAGGUGUAGCGGGUAUGACCCUGCCUGUGCCGCAGUUACACAUUAAGUGAUCCGCCUGGGGAGUACGAUCGCAAGGUUAAAACUCAAAGGAAUUGACGG